rnacentral:rRNA from 1 species
AGCCGCGGUAAUUCCAGCUCCAAUAGCGUAUAUUUACGUUGUUGCAGUUAAAAAGCUCGUAGUUGGAUUUCGGGUGGGUUCUAGCGGUCCGCCUAUGGUGAGUACUGCUAUGGCCUAUCUUUCUGUCGGGGACGGGCUUCUGGGCUUAACUGUCCGGGACUCGGAGUCGACGUGGUUACUUUGAGUAAAUUAGAGUGUUCAAAGCAGGCUCACGCCCUGAAUACUUUAGCAUGGAAUAACACGAUAGGACUCUGGCCUAUCUUGUUGGUCUGUAGGACUGGAGUAAUGAUUAAGAGGGACAGUCGGGGGAAUUCGUAUUUCAUUGUCAGAGGUGAAAUUCUUGGAUUUAUGAAAGACGAACUACUGCGAAAGCAUUUGCCAAGGAUGUUUUCAUUAAUCAAGAACGAAAGUUGGGGGCUCGAAGACGAUCAGAU